GGCGCCGGUUGGACUCACGGGCGGGGCAUGAUGGUGGUGGGUACAGGCACCUCGCUGGCGCUCUCCUCCCUCCUGUCCCUGCUGCUCUUCGCUGGGAUGCAGAUGUACAGCCGUCAGCUGGCCUCCACCGAGUGGCUCACCAUCCAGGGCGGCCUGCUUGGCUCGGGUCUCUUCGUAUUCUCGCUCACUGCCUUCAAUAAUCUGGAGAAUCUUGUCUUUGGCAAAGGAUUCCAAGCAAAGAUCUUCCCUGAGAUUCUCCUGUGCCUCCUGUUGGCUCUCUUUGCAUCUGGCCUCAUCCACCGAGUCUGUGUCACCACCUGGUAUCUUCAUCUUCUCCAUGGUUGGUCUGUACUACAUCAACAAGAUCUCCUCUACCCUGUACCAGGCAGCAGCUCCAGUCCUCACACCAGCCAAGGUCACAGGCAAGAGCAAGAAGAGAAAUUGACCCUGAAUGUUCAAUAAAGUUGAUUCUUUGUA
rnacentral:sRNA from 1 species